rnacentral:tRNA from 1 species
UUCUUAUAGUUGAAAUACAACGAUGGUUUUUCAUAUCA